rnacentral:pre_miRNA from 1 species
AAAUAUUGACGUGACAAACCAUUAAUUUUAAAUUACUACUUUGUUUUUGAUGUGAUAAAAUAAUAAUUUAAAAUUAUUGAUUUGUCAUAUCAGUGUU